GGUUGAUCCUGCCAGUAGUCAUAUGCUUGUCCCAAAGAUUAAGCCAUGCAUGUCUAAGUAUAAACAACUUUAUACAGUGAAACUGCGAAUGGCUCAUUAUAUCAGUUAUAAUUUAUUUGAUAGUCUCUUUACUACUCGGAUAACCGUGGUAAUUCUAGAGCUAAUACGUGCAUAAAGCCCAACUGCUUGCGGAAGGGCUGUAUUUAUUAGAUAAAAAACCAAUGCCAGCGAUGGCCCCUGGUGAUUCAUAAUAACUGUGCGGAUCGUAUGGCCUUGCGCCGACGACGUUUCAU
rnacentral:rRNA from 1 species